CGGCGGACGGGUGAGUAACGCGUGGGUAACCUACCUCAUACAGGGGGAUAACAGUUGGAAACGGCUGCUAAUACCGCAUAAGCGCACAGUACCGCAUGGUACCGUGUGAAAAACUCCGGUGGUAUGAGAUGGACCCGCGUCUGAUUAGGUAGUUGGUGGGGUAACGGCCUACCAAGCCGACGAUCAGUAGCCGACCUGAGAGGGUGACCGGCCACAUUGGGACUGAGACACGGCCCAA
rnacentral:rRNA from 1 species